CGAUGUACGCUGGCGGCAGGCCUAUCCAUGCAAGUCCCGCGGAUGAGUGGAGCUUGCUCCAUGAUUCAUCGGCGGACGGGUGAGUAAUGCCUACGAAUCUGCCUGGUAGUGGGGGACAACGUUUCGAAAGGAACGCUAAUACCGCAUACUUCCUACGGGAGAAAGUGGGGGAUCUUCGGACCUCACGCUAUCAGAUGAGCCUAGGUCGGAUUAGCUAGUUGGUGAGGUAAAGGCUCACCAAGGCGACGAUCCGUAACUGGUCUGAGAGGAUGAUCAGUCACACUGGAACUGAGACACGGUCCAGACUCCUACGGGAGGCAGCAGUGGGGAAUAUUGGACAAUGGGCGAAAGCCUGAUCCAGCCAUGCCGCGUGUGUGAAGAGGGUCUUCGGAUUGUAAAGCACUUUAAGUUGGGAGGAAGGGCAGUAAGUUAAUACCUUGCUGUUUUGACGUUACCAACAGAAUAAGCACCGGCUAACUUCGUGCCAGCAGCCGCGGUAAUACGAAGGGUGCAAGCGUUAAUCGGAAUUACUGGGCGUAAAGCGCGCGUAGGUGGUUCGUUAAGUUGGAUGUGAAAGCCCCGGGCUCAACCUGGGAACUGCAUCCAAAACUGGCGAGCUAGAGUAUGGCAGAGGGUGGUGGAAUUUCCUGUGUAGCGGUGAAAUGCGUAAUAUAGAAGGAACAACA
rnacentral:rRNA from 2 species